UCCCCUCCUCCCCCAUCCACUGGUUUCUCAUUGGCUUUUGUCCAUGCCCUGUCAGACUAAGCACUGACGUCAUUUGCUUGCCCAUCCACCCAGGCUUUUCUUUAAAUGUCUUCCCUGAUGUUUUUAAAAACUGACCUCAGCAAACCAUGGGCUUCAGUAGCCAGUGUUUUUUCUCAGUGGGGAGGUUUCCGUGCUCUGCAAAACACCGUUUGCGGGAACACAGCGACAGCGCUGUGCUUUACUUUCAGCAUUGCUCACUCCAACUCCCCAGGCAGCCUCAGGCUUCGUGUGGGGGGUUGUUCAUCCCUACAGCACCCCAUGCACCCCAUACAUGAGUGUGCUCCAGGUCAUCUGUGUCUGGAACUGCACCUGUGCUCAGCUGGAGAUCCUGUUAAGGAUGCUCCUUAUUGCUAACUGCCUGCAAAGUGCUUCAUCAUUCCCUUCUGACCACAUUCUGCAUUUUCCAUAUACAGAGCACACUUAUCUGAUGCAGUCUGCUCUCGAAGUUGAAAGUGCUGCCUCUUCCCAUCUGUUAUGACAUUUGUCCAGUUUGAUCAUGAUGGCUUUACCAUCACUCCUAGCAUUAAUCACCAUGUGCAACAGCUUGCCAGAUGUUUUCAGGAGCCUGUCCAUGCAUCAUCUGGGUGCAUUUCAAAUGAGACAGCACUCCACCGUGUUCUGCAUUAAUUCUGACCUCUCCUUUUGAGAGGAGGUUUCUUCCCUGUAGCCAGACCUUGAUCUUGACCAACUUGAUAAUCAUGUGUGAGUUCUGGGACACCCUGUGUCACAGGUACCUGAGACACAACAACUAUAGAUGCAUAGAGUAUGGCCAAAGGUAAAAGGCUCAGCAAAGUCAAGCUCCCAGCUCAAACUGAGAAACAAGAACAACUUCCUAUGCAGCUUUGUCCUGUCCUAACGCUCAUCUAAGAAACAUGAUAAAUAAAAUAAUAAAACAGGUUA